rnacentral:lncRNA from 1 species
GUUUUAUGGGCCUCUAAGCACCGGCCAGUAGUGGGGAAUGCCACAUGCAAUGGGAGAUGGAAUGGAAGAUAUGACGCUCCCCCAGAAGCCACACUUCAAUGACAAUGGGCAGGUCGCUAAGCAGAUAGCAAAACUGGCUGCAAGGGAAUGCACUGAGGGAAGCUGGAACAUCCUAAAGAAUUAAUAUUAAAUUGCUUUCUCAUGAAAACCAGUGCAGUAAAGAAACCAAGUGGGCUUGGUUCAGAGGCGGCUCCAUCUCUACCUCAGGUCUCACCAGUGACUAUUAUUCUAAUAAUAAGUGAAAGAAACCACAGCCGUAACCCCAAUGCUGCUACCCUCACCCACCUCUGUGGGCAAGGGAAGCCCUGCUCAGUGGAGAAAUGUGAUGGAGGCAGGGGGAGCCAUGCAGUGUGUGAGUAUGCGAUGACCCCUCUGCAGAAGAGAGAGGUCAGUUCAGAAUAUCUGAACCCCUCGCGGUAUCGACCCAUGCCUGGAGAAAGCCACAAUGCAGAGGACAUGAUACGAAAUGAAAUGAGCACCCCAUAACUCCCAAUGAAAGGUCAUUUUAAGUUCCCCAAAUUACCCCUAGAGAUAACUGGUGCUACUUUGAAAAGCACUUUUAUCUCUACCCCAAAUAAGUGUCAAUUCUCCAGUAUGAAGGCUAAACGAUCGUCAUAAAUAUUGCAAGAUACAAAUGAAUUUUUUUUUUAGCCCUAGGAUUUGGUUUUACAGUGACAUAAAUAGUACAAGCCAUUUGGGAUCAAAGUCUCCCCCAUGUACUGGA